rnacentral:rRNA from 1 species
AUUGAACGCUGGCGGGAGGCCUAACACAUGCAAGUCGACCGGUAGCAGGAAGCAGCUUGCUGCUUCCGUGUCGCGUGGCGGACAGGUGUGUGAUGUCUAGCUGACUGCCUGUUGGCGGGGGCUACCUACUGGAAACGGUAGCUCAUACCGCGUAACGUCGCUACACCAAAGAGGGUGAACUUAUGCCCCCUUGCCCGCUGGUGUGCCCAGGUGGGAUUAGCUUGGUGGUGGGGUGACGGCUCACCUAGUCGACGAUCACCAGCUGGUCUCAGGGGAGGACCAGCCACACUGGAACUGAGACACGGUCCAGACUCCUACGGGAGGGAGCAGUGGGGAAUAUUGGACAAUGGGCGCAAGCCUGAUGCAGCCAUGCCGCGUGUAUGAAGAAGGCCUUCGGGUUGUAAAGUACUUUCGGCGGGUAGGAAGCGAGUAAGGUUAAGACCUUGGCUCAUUGACGUUACCCGCAGAAGAAGCACCGGCUAACUCCGUG